AAUGCUGACAUUCCACAAUCGUCCUAAGUCAACUCAACUUGUUCAAAUUAUUUUCCCUGACAUUCGUCAUAAAAAUGAUAAUAUAGCCUACAAUUUAUACUUGGUAAUUCCAUCUGAUGAGGUGACCUGAAACUGUUCCCAAAAUGUCGUCUGUUGCUGCACGUACCCUACCGGCUUUGCGUUUCGUCACAUGUAGAAAUACUUCACAACCGUAAAAAUGAUUAUGUUGGUGUAACCCUAAGUAUGGUGAAGUCUGAGCUUCUUCAUUGCAGUCCAACCCGCUGUGCAGUGUGAUUUGUUGCAGCCAGCUGGCAAAAGGUGUUCCUCUUGCAGGCCUGCAACCUGUACCGUUUGUAGCUUUCGUCACAUGCAGAAACACUUCCAAACAAUUAAAAGAUUAACAGCCUCUUAAGGUCUGAGCCUUUUUGUUGCAGUCCAAUGUGUACAUGAAUUUUGUGCAGCCAGCUAGUGAAUGGUGAGCUGUUGCGUGCAGACUGUGGUGCUGGUGUCGUUCGUUCAUUUAACUAUGGACCGUUUAGUCGUUCGUUUAUCGUAAGAAAUCUGUCACUUGUCGCAGAUUUCCAUGGUCAGUUUUAUGUUUGAGCUGUUUAUGGUGUUGCUGUCAUUUUCCAGUUGGGAGAUGCGCUGAAAUGGAACUUGUGCAGACUUGCAGUUGAACAUCAUACUUUAAUGUGCCAUUUGCCUAUGUUGGUGUCCAUGCAGUAUAUACAGUGAUGAACUGUUGUGCAAAAUAGUCGAUGUUACCUGCUGGCUGUCGCGCUUAUUUUAUCGGCAGCAUUUUGUCGAUGUCAUCUCUUGCUAUCUGUACCGACGUUGAGUUGAUUCGUUUGCCGCCUUUCCUUAGACUUGAUCCACCGGUGAAACUCAGAAGACGUUGCUGAAAUUCAAGAUUGAACAAUAAAUUAUGUUUAUAAAUUACAAGUGCAUAUCUGGGCUCCCUUCUUCACUGGCCCCGUUUCCCUAAAUAACAACUAACCAACGCCCGCCG